UACGUAGGCAGCAAGCGUUGUUCGGAGUUACUGGGCGUAAAGAGUGCGUAGGCGGUGUCAAAAGUUUGGCGUGAAAUCUCCCGGCUUAACUGGGAGGGUGCGCCGAAAACUGCGGUGCUGGAGUGUGGGAAAGGCAAGCGGAAUUCCUGGUGUAGCGGUGAAAUGCGUAGAUAUCAGGAGGAACACCGGCGGUGUAGACGGCUUGCUAGACCAUAACUGACGCUGGGGCACGAAAGCGUGGGUAGCAAACAGG
rnacentral:rRNA from 1 species